GAUGAACGCUAGCGGCAGGCUUAAUACAUGCAAGUUGAGGGGCAGCAUGAUAUACGCGAGUAUAUUGAUGGCGACCGGCGGACGGGUGAGUAAUAGGUAGGAGACCUACCUCAUACAGGGGGAUAGCAUAGAGAAAUCUGUGGUAAUACCCCAUGAGGUUAUAUGAAUAGAGGCAUAUAAUCAAAGCAUAAGCGAUUAUGCGGUAUGAGAGGGGCCUACUGACCAUUAGCUAGUUGGUGAGGUAAGGGCUCACCAAGGCGAAGAUGGUUAGGGGUUUUGAGAGAGAGACCCCCCACAUUGGAACUGAGAGACGGUCCAGACUCCUACGGGAGGCAGCAGUAGGGAAUAUUGGGCAAUGGGCGAAAGCCUGACCCAGCCAUGCCGCGUGAAGGAGACGGCCUUAGGGUUGUAAACUUCUUUACUACGCGAAUAGAGGUUAGUACGAGAUACUAAUAGGAAGGUAGUGUAAGUAAAAGCAACCGGCUAACGUCCGU
rnacentral:rRNA from 1 species